rnacentral:rRNA from 1 species
UACGUAGGGUGCAAGCGUUAAUCGGAAUUACUGGGCGUAAAGCGUGCGCAGGCGGCUUUGCAAGACAGAUGUGAAAUCCCCGGGCUCAACCUGGGAACUGCAUUUGUGACUGCAAGGCUGGAGUACGGCAGAGGGGGAUGGAAUUCCACGUGUAGCAGUGAAAUGCGUAGAGAUGUGGAGGAACACCGAUGGCGAAGGCAGCCCCCUGGGUUAACACUGACGCUCAGGCACGAAAGCGUGGGGAGCAAACAGG